rnacentral:rRNA from 1 species
CAUGGUUGUCGUCAGCUCGUGCCGUGAGGUGUCGGCUAAGUGCCAUAACGAGACGCAACCUCAUCAUAGUUACCAUCAGGUAAGGCUGGGGACUCUAAUGAGACUGCCAUCGUAAGAUGUGAGGAAGUGGGGAUGACGUCAAAUCAGCACGGCCCUUACUCCGGGGCGACACACGUGUUACAAUGGGUGGUACAAAGGGCAGCUACCUGGCGACAGGAUGCUAAUCUCGAAAACCGCUCUCAGUUCGGAUCGGAGUCUGCAACUCGACUCCGUGAAGCUGGAUUCGCUAGUAAUCGCGCAUCAGCCACGGCGCGGUGAAUACGUUCCCGGGCCUU